GGAUCUUUAGCUCAAAAGGGUAGAGCACUUGAGAAUGGCUCAAGAGAUGGUGGUUCAAAUCCACCAAGGUCCU